rnacentral:sRNA from 1 species
GUGACUUGCUUUUGGAGGGCUUCAACAACUACACCUUCCUCUCCAAUGGCUUUGUGCCCAUCCCAGCAGCGCAGGAUGAUGAGAUGUUCCAGGAAACCGUGGAGGCCAUGGCGAUCAUGGGUUUCAGCGAGGAGGAGCAGCUAUCCAUAUUGAAGGUGGUAUCAUCGGUCCUGCAGCUUGGAAAUAUCGUCUUCAAGAAGGAAAGAAACACAGACCAGGCGUCCAUGCCAGAUAACACAGCUGCUCAGAAAGUUUGCCACCUCAUGGGAAUUAAUGUGACAGAUUUCACCAGAUCCAUCCUCACUCCUCGUAUCAAGGUUGGGCGAGAUGUGGUACAGAAAGCUCAGACAAAAGAACAGGCUGACUUUGCUGUAGAGGCUUUGGCCAAGGCAACAUAUGAGCGCCUUUUCCGCUGGAUACUCACCCGCGUGAACAAAGCCCUGGACAAGACCCAUCGGCAAGGGGCUUCCUUCCUGGGGAUCCUGGAUAUAGCUGGAUUUGAGAUCUUUGAGGUGAACUCCUUCGAGCAGCUGUGCAUCAACUACACCAACGAGAAGCUGCAGCAGCUCUUCAACCACACCAUGUUCAUCCUGGAGCAGGAGGAGUACCAGCGCGAGGGCAUCGAGUGGAACUUCAUCGACUUUGGGCUGGACCUACAGCCCUGCAUCGAGCUCAUCGAGCGACCGAACAACCCUCCAGGUGUGCUGGCCCUGCUGGACGAGGAAUGCUGGUUCCCCAAAGCCACGGACAAGUCUUUCGUGGAGAAGCUGUGCACGGAGCAGGGCAGCCACCCCAAGUUCCAGAAGCCCAAGCAGCUCAAGGACAAGACUGAGUUCUCCAUCAUCCAUUAUGCCGGGAAGGUGGACUACAAUGCAAGUGCCUGGCUGACCAAGAAUAUGGACCCGCUGAAUGACAACGUGACUUCCCUGCUCAAUGCCUCCUCCGACAAGUUUGUGGCCGACCUGUGGAAGGACGUGGACCGCAUCGUGGGCCUGGACCAGAUGGCCAAGAUGACGGAGAGCUCGCUGCCCAGCGCCUCCAAGACCAAGAAGGGCAUGUUCCGCACAGUGGGGCAGCUGUACAAGGAGCAGCUGGGCAAGCUGAUGACCACGCUGCGCAACACCACGCCCAACUUCGUGCGCUGCAUCAUCCCCAACCACGAGAAGAGGGUGAGGCCCGCCGCCCAGACCCUGGGGCUCCCAGAAGCCAGGGCUGUCCCAAGCAGUCACAGCAUCCCCCGGGCGCCCUCUGCCCCCACCUACCCUGAGGACUCCAUUUGCCAUGUGGGGAAGGCUAUCUGAAUCUCAGACCCAUUCCCCAUCCCUGGAGGAAAAGGAGGAAGGGAGGAUGCAUCCAGAGACUUUUCAGCCGUGGAGUUGCUGUGCAGGUCAUCCAGCCACUCAUUCAUUCAUUAUCCCAGGAAGUAUUCACUGGGCUCCGCCCUGUCCUGGGUGCUGGGGAGCAGUGUUAGAAAAAUUGUAGCCCUUUCCUGUGGGUUUCUCAUAAUCUGGUGCAGGCAUCUUCAGCUUGGGGUGAUUGUGUCCUCUAUAUGGACAUGCUACAGACAUUUUUGGUUGUCACAACCAGGGAGGGGGCUGUUAGUCAGCAUCUAGUGGGUAGGGGCCAGGGAUGCCCUAAGCAUUGUACAAUGCACAGGAUGGUCCCUCAACCCCCAGCACAGAAUCCCUACAAGAUGCCAGUAGUGCUGAGGUUAUGGGAGACAUGGGGAGAGGUAAACAUACAGCUGAUGAUGGUGAUGGAAUGUGGUCAGUUAGGAGAACACCAAAGAGCCAGGGCUCCUCCCACAGCCUUAGGACUCAGAGAAAGCUUCUGGUGAACUUGAACGUUAAGAAUGUCUGGCCAUCAACUUGGUGACGUGGAAGGCAGGGUGGCGCCUAGGAUAAGCAGGGGGCCUAGGAUAAGCAGAGGGCCCAGGAUAAGCAAGAGUGUGGAGGUGAGAAGUGAAGGAACUAGGUAAGAAAAUGCUAGAUAGUGUCAGGCGUGUGGCUCACGCCUGUAAUCCCAGCUUCUCAGGAGGCUGAGAAACAAAAAUCUGUUGAACCCGGAGGCGGAGGUUGCAGUGAGCUGAGAUUGCACCACAGCAUUCCAGCCUGGGCAGCAGAGCGAGACUCCAUCCU